AAAAAAAAAAAAAUUGUACUGGGAAGGAGAAAGGACUAUAGAAAGGAAGGUAAUUAAGGGAAGGAGAAAGGACUAUAGAAAGGAAGGUAAUUAAGGGAAGAGAAUAAGAAUAGGAGCUCUAAAAAGCCUCAGAUUUGUUGGGAGAUCACAAUUAAGGGUAGGAGAAAGGACUAUAGAAAAGAAGGUAAUUAAGGGAAGAGAAUAAGAAUAGGAACUCUAUCAAGCCUCAAAUUUGUUGGGAGAUCGCAAGACUAGAAAUUAAUGGAAAAUACUAAACAACAGAAGACUAGAAAUUAAUGGAAAAUACUAAACAACAGAAAUACAGUGACAGGACAUGAUGCUAACCAAAAUCCACUUCAAAAUCCACUUGGGUUUUGGUAACCAUCUUGGCAUGAUUGGUAUGUUGUACUUUGUUACUUUCAGCUUUCACAUAAUUUUUUCAAAGCCUUCACAGAAAUUUCUCAAAUGUAUUCAUGAAGCUCCAAGGCCAGACAUCAGAGAAAUGAAAGCAAAAAGUAACUACUAUCAAUCAAGUCUGUACCUGAGAAUAGCAACACGAGAAUGUCUGCUGCGGCCAAGAUUACAUUCAUCCAGGUCCAGGUUAUCACAGUUGCGGACCCACCGACUCAGUGGACUAGUGCCAAUGCCCUGCCCAUUGGUGCCAACAAGAGCCACCAAGGACCGGAAGCCCUCAGAUGUUAACCACUGAAGGAAAAGAAGCAUAAUGGUUAGAGUGGUGUAAAAUGCUAGUCUUGGGAUCUAAUCUUUGCCUAUUAAAUUGAUGCAUGUAGAGUUAAUAGAUCAAAUAACACAUCCACUACUUUCACAGUAAUUUCAUAAAAUAUGUAACUUGCAUUCUGUGGAUAACCUAUAUACAUGUCUCCAUUUGUGGGACUCUAAUUCUCUUCAAGUAUACAUAUAUCAAACAAAAGAA